rnacentral:lncRNA from 1 species
GUGGAGCGCAGCAGACUGGCGGGCGCGGCCGCCUCGGCCAGGUAAAAGUAAACGAGAUCGAGAGCGGCGUCGCACGGCACAAAGCGCCUCGGGUGCCACCGCACACUGUCGGCCUGGGCUAUAGCGCACGAUGCCAGCCAGCGGCGCGCGGCGCGCUCGCCCUCGCCCGGUCGCGUGGCCGGACGUCUCCACACGAGGACAGCAUUGAGUGACUCGUGAUUGUGUGGCACGCCGGCGCGCGUCACGACGCUGACGAAACCACCACCGGCAAAGUACCGACCGAGCGUGUGCGCGAGGGGUCCUAGCACAUUGCGGCAUAUGGGUCCCGCCGAACGCAGACAUGACACGCUGAACGCAGCCCUCGCCGCCGUUGUCGCAUCGACAGGUCCCGGUUCUAGACGCGCGGCAAAUCCAUGCGGUAGCACGGGGCUAUAGACGAUAACGCCGCCAGCGUGCAGGGUCGGUGGCGGCGGUGGCGGCGGAUCCCGCUUGCGCAAAACCCGCUGGGCGUCGUUGUUCACCUUUGUGGCCAAUAUGGCGCGCCGCCUUUGUGACAUCCCUGAUUCUUCUCUCUAUGUCUCUCUAUGCGCCUUUCUAUGUCUCUUAUCGACUCAACUGGACACGCACAAAAAACC